rnacentral:rRNA from 1 species
GCCAGACUCCUACGGGAGGCAGCAGUGAGGAAUAUUGGUCAAUGGUCGGGAGACUGAACCAGCCAAGCCGCGUGAGGGAGGAAGGUACAGAGUAUCGUAAACCUCUUUUGUCAGGGAACAAAGGCGGGGACGUGUCCCCGGAUGAGUGUACCUGAAGAAAAAGCAUCGGCUAACUCCGUGCCAGCAGCCGCGGUAAUACGGAGGAUGCGAGCGUUAUCCGGAUUUAUUGGGUUUAAAGGGUGCGUAGGCGGGACGGUAAGUCAGCGGAAAAAAUGCGGAGCUCAACUCCGCCGAGCCGUUGAAACUGCCGUUCUUGAGUGAGCGAGAAGUAUGCGGAAUGCGUGGUGUAGCGGUGAAAUGCAUAGAUAUCACGCAGAACUCCGAUCGCGAAGGCAGCCUACCGGCGCGCUACUGACGCUCAUGCACGAAAGCGUGGGUAUCGAACAGGAUUAGAUACCCUGGUA